rnacentral:pre_miRNA from 1 species
UUUCGUGGAUAAUAUUUGGGUGACAACGAGAGAGAGCACGCUAGUGGAAAUUCAUGGACAUUUAUGUACAAUACAGGCGUGAACUCUCUUGUUGUCACCCAAAAUAUGUUCAUGAGA